rnacentral:tRNA from 2 species
UCGAUAGCUCAGUCGGUAGAGCAAAGGACUGAAAAUCCUUGUGUCGGCAGUUCGAUUCUGCCUCG